rnacentral:rRNA from 1 species
AACGAACGCUGGCGGCAGGCCUCAAACAUGCAAGACGAACGCUCCAGCAAUGGAGAGUGGCAGACGGGUGAGUAACACGUGGGAACCUACCCUUUGGUUCGGAAUAGCCCAGGGAAACUUGGGGUAAUACCGGAUAAGCCCUUCGGGGGAAAGAUUUAUCGCCAAAGGAUGGGCCCGCGUCGGAUUAGCUAGUUGGUGGGGUAACGACCUACCAAGGCGACGAUCCGUAGCUGGUCUGAGAGGAUGAUCAGCCACACUGGGACUGAGACACGGCCCUGACUCGUACGGGAGGCAGCAGUUGGGAAUAUUGGACAAUGGGCGCAAGCCUGGUCCAGCCAUGCCGCGUGAGUGACGAAGGCCUUCGGGUUGUAAAGCUCUUUUGGCGGGGAUGAUAAUGACAGUACCCGCAGAAUAAGCCCCGGCUAACUUCGUGCCAGCCGCCGCCGUAACAC